AAGUCGUAACAAGGUUUCCGUAGGUGAACCUGCGGAAGGAUCAUUAUUGAAUGAACAUGGAGUUUGGUUGUUGCUGGCCUCUUUAUUGGGGCAUGUGCACACCUUCCUCUAUUCAUCCACACACACCUGUGAACUUGUGAGACGGAUAGUAGCCCUCUAGGGGGCGAGGUCCGUCUGCUAUACAUAAACUCCAGUAUAUAAAUUCGAAUGUCAUUUGAUGUAACACAUCUAUAAACUAAGUUUCAACAACGGAUCUCUUGGCUCUC
rnacentral:misc_RNA from 1 species